CGAGACUGACAUUUUUUCCCAUUCCUCCUUGCAAAACAGCUCGAGCUCAGUGAGGUUGGAUGGAGAGCAUUUGUGAACAGCAGUUUUCAGUUCUUUCCACAGAUUCUCGAUUGGAUUCAGGUCUGGACUUUGACUUGGCCAUUCUAACACCUGGAUAUGUUUAUUUUUGAACCAUUCCAUUGUAGAUUUUGCUUUAUGUUUUGGAUCAUUGUCUUCUUGGAAGACAAAUCUCCGUCCCAGUCUCAGGUCUUUUGCAGACUCCAUCAGGUUUUCUUCCAGAAUGAUCCUGUAUUUGGCUCCAUCCAUCUUCCCAUCAAUUUUAACCAUCUUCCCUGUCCCUGCUGAAGAAAAGCAGGCCCAAACCAUGAUGCUGCCACCACCACAUGUUUGACAGUGGGGAUGGUGUGUUCAGGGUGAUGGGCUGUGUUGCUUUUACGCCAAACAUAACGUUUUGCAUUGUUGCCAAAAAGUUCAAUUUUGGUUUCAUCUGACCAAAAUCAAAUCAAAUCAAAUCAAAUUUAUUUAUAUAGCCCUUCGUACAUCAGCUGAUAUCUCAAAGUGCUGUACAGAAACCCAGCCUAAAACCCCAAACAGCAAGCAAUGCAGGUGUAGAAGCACGGUGGCUAGGAAAAACUCCCUACAAAGGCCAAAACCUAGGAAGAAACCUAGAGAGGAACCAGGCUAUGUGGGGUGGCCAGUCCUCUUCUGGCUGUGCAGGGUGGAGAUUAUAACAGAACAUGGCCAAGAUGUUCAAAUGUUCAUAAAUGACCAGCAUGGUCGAAUAAUAAUAAGGCAGAACAGUUGAAACUGGAGCAGCAGCAUGGCCAGGUGGACUGGGGACAGCAAGGAGUCAUCAUGUCAAGUAGUCCUGGGGCAUGGUCCUAGGGCUCAGGUCCUCCGAGAGAGAGAAAGAAAGAGAGAAGGAGAGAAUUAGAGAACGCACACUUAGAUUCACACAGGACACCGAAUAGGACAGGAGAAGUACUCCAGAUAUAACAAACUGAUCCCAGCCCCC
ensembl:lncRNA